GACGAACGCUGGCGGCGUGCUUAACACAUGCAAGUCGAACGGAAAGGCCCUGCUUUUGUGGGGUGCUCGAUUGGCGAACGGGGGAGUAACACGUGAGUAACCUGCCCCUGACUUUGGGAUAACUUCAGGAAACUGGGGCUAAUACCGGAUAUGAGCUCCUGCUGCAUGGGGUGGGUUGGAAAGUUUCGGCUGUUGGGGAUGGACUGGCGGCUUAUCAGCUUGUUUGGGGGGUAGUGGCUUACCAAGGCUUUGACGGGUAGCCGGCCUGAGAGGGUGACCGGCCACAUUGGGACUGAGAUACGGCGCAGACUGCGACGGGAGGCAGCAGUGGGGAACAUUGCACAAUGGGCGGAAGCGUGAUGCAGCAACGCCGAGUGCGGGAUGACGGCCUACGGGUUGUAAACCGCUUUCGCCUGUGCCGAAGCGUGAGUGACGGUAAUGGGUAAAGAAGCACCGGCUAACUACGUG
rnacentral:rRNA from 1 species